AGUGUAAUUAUUAGGUCACAUAGAAAUCAUAUGUUUAUUAUUUUAAAGAAAUUACCAAACUAUUUUCCAAAGUAACAAUACUAUUUUAUACUCCCACUGGCAAU
rnacentral:pre_miRNA from 1 species